UAAGAGGUAUUGGUUUUUUACAGUACAGAUAAACACACACCUUGAUAAACUUUAUCAUUUGCCGUUUUCAUUUAGUUUUACUUUUACAUUUGAACUCGCCGAUUUUGAAACAAGAUGUGUAACGCUAGAAUAUCAGUGCCUCCGUCUUUUCUAUCAUUCAACUUACCAAAGAUCUACAGUUUUUUUAUUCUUAGUAAAUUCGCUAUUUUGGUUACCAUUUUUUCAGUUGUUGGAUCGAGUGAAAGUCGAGCCGAUAACGAGUGCGAUUGUGGCUGGAGAAAUUUGGCAAGUAAGAGCUUCCAAAUAGUAGGAGGUAAUGAAACGGGAAUAAAUGAAUUUCCUGCAAUGGUGGGAAUCGUCAGUUUUAGUACCAAGUCGCUCGUUUGUGGCGGGCAUAUAAUUUCGGAUAGAUACCUUCUAUCUGCUGCUCAUUGCGUAUUUCAAAAAGAUCCCAACGAAUUAGCUAUUUUGGCUGGAGAUCAUAAUAUUACAUCAGGAGACGAUACAUUAUAUUCUGCCCUUUAUAACAUAAAUGCCUAUGAAAUACACCCUGACUACGACAGUAGCAUUUAUGCCAAUGACAUCGCUAUAUUGCAAACGACCAAAUCUAUUGCUUUUAGUCAAUAUGUAGCUCCGAUUUGUCUGCCCUUCAAAUACGUUGACUACGAUUUUUCUUCUCAGCCUGUUAUCGUUUUAGGUUGGGGUCAACUUGAGUUUUCUGGUCCCACUUCAGAUGUUCUAAUGAUGGCAUCAUUAAACGUUUUAUCAAAUGACGAAUGCUCAAUAAUCGUAAGCGAAGCACUUGUGCCUGAAGAAAUGUGUACGUUUGCUUCAGGGAAAGACUCUUGCCAGCUUGAUUCAGGUGGUCCACUUUUAUGGACUGAUGUGGUUGCAAACAGAAUGCAUUUAGUGGGAAUAAUUUCCCAUGGUCUUGGCUGUGCCUCAAAUGAACCCAGCGUGAAUACGAGAGUUACUCAGUUUCUGAGCUGGAUUGUUGAGAGAACAAGCGAUGCUACAUAUUGUUAUAUGUAAUACAUGAAACCAAGGAAAGCAAUAGAACUGAAGUUGACUUAAAUUGGCAAACCUAAGUUUUGAAAUAUUCUCAUUUGAGGCGCCAAGCCAUAUUAACAUAUUCAAGAUGAAGAGAGCCUUUGGAGGUGGCCUAAAAAUCUAAGGAAUCACGCGUUUCAUACUAAUUUUAUUAUUAAAUAAAUACUAUAUGCUUUUUAAUUUCCUACCUAAUUUAAUAACCAAGAUAGCGAACUUUAGUGUUAAUGCUUCGAGCUAUACUAGAAAUUAGACUAAUGCAUGAUGUAGAGAAUAAAAAAUGUCCGAACAAAUAAAAAAAGUUAUAUCAACUAACUUUUAAAGCAGCAGUAAAUCAACGUCCAUCCGGUUCUUUUCAAUAUGGUGAAAAAAUAAUUAACUAAGCCAUUUCUAAAAAUACGGAAAUUUAUUCACGACUUAUGUCGCGAAUGUUUCAUCACUCCGAAAGUUCAAGCCCAGGAAAUUCGAUAGAAUUGUUGCGAGAGAUUCACUUAAUUUAGCAAAUGGACUGUAUUAGAGAUCCGUUGCUUGGUACAAAUAUAGUUUACUUAAGGCUCAGUCUCUCAUUCAGAGGUUCAGAGAAUAUUUUUAUUGAAAUAUAAAGAGCAAGUUGAAUUAGGAUUUGUAAAAUAUAAAAUUCAUCUACAUUUUACAUGUAAUGAAUCUAACAGAAAAUUAUGAGUGAUUCAUAUUCUAAAUUGAAUUGUUUACGUUUUAGGCUGAAAAUAUUAUGAAAAAUACAAAAACAACACUAAUUGCGGAAUACGUUAUCAUCCAUUGCGUUCACAAAGAAGAUAAUUGCAUUUUAAAAUAUCUCUGGAUCACAAAUUUAAUAUAAUAAAACAAAAUUGAGCGGCACUAUGCUAAUUAAUCGAACGCAUAAUCCAGCAUACUUACAUUCAAUUAAAAAUGCAUUACAUGCAAAUCUACAUUUCAAUAUCUAGAUUGAGUUACACGGAGAAAACAACCCUCAAUGAUAUUUUACGUUUUGUCGGAAGGACAGGAACACGCGGUGAGUAAGAAAUGUGCGAUUAAACCAUUAUAUUUUCGGGUUGCAAUUAACAGAAAUAUUUGGUUUCUAGAUCACGGAUCAAUUAAAAUGCGGCAUUUUCCCCAUUUGUUUAUUUCAGGAAUGCUUAUUGGGAGUUAAAAAUGUUUCAAUUGGCAAUCGAAGUGUUAUAAAGUCGGAAACAUUUUUAUUAAACUAUCAAUUAUCAAGUAUCCCAGUGUAGCUUUUUAAUACCACCAUCCAUCCAAAUUCUAAACCAUUAAGUUUGAAAUAUUUCGACACAAAUGUAGUGAAUGAUUUUAAGCCAACAAUUCAAUAUUAAUUCAUUUGAAGUUGUAUAGUGUAAAAUGGAAAGAGGAUAUUUAUUUUUGCUGAUAGUGACAGCGCUUAAUGGGCUACACGUUUCAGCAACAACAUCGGUAAUAGAUCAAAUUGUUUAAAUGAUUUAUUGAAAUCAAUUAAAAAGUCUAUCACUUUCUGUGUGCUUAAUGGGAUUCACUUGUUAAUUAAAUUUAAUUACUAUUUACGGCCUAUAACAACACUUACCUAUGUCAAUGCAAACAAGUUGAAUUCAUGCAUAGUUCAUGAUUUUUUCGUUCCCGAUCAAAUAAAACAUUGAUGGCACAGGAUUAUUCGGGCUGAUAAUUAGUUCUCAUUUUAGAACAGCACAGUUCGAGUUUAUCAGUUAAUAAAUUGUCCCAACCAAAACCUGCGUAUAGAUCUCAGAAACAUUUCAAUUAACUUGGAAAAUGAUACAUAUUUUCUUGGUUUUGAUAUUGAUGUACAGGAAGAUAUUGCGGAAGACAUGAAGUUAGAAUUUUCAAUCACCAGAUGUUUAAAUAGGGCCGCGCCAGAUACUUGCGAACAGUUUCACACUUUUACCGUACCCUAUUUCUGCAAGAUGAUGCUAAUACCCGCACCAUGGCUAGAAUAUCUGAAAAGUUUAGAGCCUCCUAUUAGUUGCCCAAUUAGAAAGGGUAAAUAUGUUUUGAAACAGAGCAUCGCGUGCAGUUUAAAAGAAGUUAAUAGGCUGAAGUUUGGAAGAGGAUAUUUCUUCAGGUUUACCAUGAAGGAGAUUGGGAUGAAAACAAACCAGUUACUAUUUUGCGCCAAAGCUGAGGUUUCAUCUUAAGUUUUGAGAAAUAAGUAAUACGUAACAUACUUUUUGCUUAAAUUGUGUUAUUAUCUAAUAUUCAAUAAAUACCUUGCAUUAGCUGAUCAUGCUUUAGUGACGUGUGCAAAUUUGAAAAUAAAUAAACGCACUUAAAUAAGUUUUAAUA